rnacentral:rRNA from 1 species
UGGGGAAUAUUGGACAAUGGGGGAAACCCUGAUCCAGCGAUGCCGCGUGUGUGAAGAAGGCCUGCGGGUUGUAAAGCACUUUCAGUUGGGAAGAUAGUUUGUAGGGGAAUAUCCUGCAGAUGAGACGUUACUAACAAAAGAAGCACCGGCUAACUCUGUGCCAGCAGCCGCGGUAAUACAGAGGGGGCAAGCGUUGUUCGGAAUCACUGGGCGUAAAGCGCACGUAGGUGGAUAGUUAAGUUCGGGGUGAAAUCCCAGGGCUCAACCCUGGAACUGCCUCGGAUACUGGCUAUCUCGAGUCCGGAAGAGGUGAGUGGAAUUCCUAGUGUAGAGGUGAAAUUCGUAGAUAUUAGGAAGAACACCAGUGGCGAAGGCGGCUAACUGGUCCGGUACUGACGCUGAGGUGCGAAAGCGUGGGGAGCAAACAGGAUUAGAUACCCAGGUAGUCCCUGAGCGGGCUGGCAAGGCGCAU